UUCAUUGAAAAUCAGAUUUUAUUUCAAAAAAAGUCAUGAACUGAAAUUGCACCAUUUUCCUCAUUAUAAAUUCUUUGUAAAAUAUAUUUUACAGUCUUUAAAGAAAGAUUUGGAAAAAAAAAAAACCCUCUUUUCUGAGCACUGAAAAGUCUCUUGACUUUGUGUCACGCUGGUGAGUAACUCCAGAGCUGCUACAACAAUCUGAUUUAUCAAAGGUUUUAAAACAAAGACCUCAGACAACAAAAAUCAAAUAGAACACAGACUCAAGGACUACCAUUCAGUGAUAACCAAGGAAACACUCCACAGCAAGGCAAAGCACCAUGAGAGGGAUUUCAGGUACCCCCAUGCUUUAAAGUGGCCAUCAGUGCAAAGAAACACUUGGGAAGUCAAAAACCCCAUUUCCUGUGCCAUUUCUACACUGCAGGCAGGCAGCAUAUUCAGUGUUUAGCCUUUAAAAUAUUUCAGAGAAUCAGAUGAUUUGCAAAGCACCUUAAAGGUUAAGUGUUAUUCUGUAGUAAAUUCAUACUUUGAGCUAACAGUUGAUUCUGACUUUUGGGUGGGUAAGAGAGGAGGAAGUUAGCAAUGUAUUUUUAAAAAGCUCUCAAGUUCAACAUGCAAAAAUUAUACGCCCUCUACAAACUCUACUCAUCGAAUGACCAUGCUGAGAUAAAUGUAAAUACUGUGAAACAGUGCUGGCACAGACAGCGAGUGGUUUGUUUUCCUUUCAGCAACAAGCCAAGGCUUCAGUUGUGCUGAACUCGGUUAAAAUGAGGACACACACAUCUCUGUUUCUAGAGCAUAAGAAAAAAUACAUCUCUCCUGAUGGUUACUCAGAGGUAGGCUCCAAGUCUUCUGCAGACUAAGCUCUCUGCAGGGAAGGAGCAACACUGGGACAUCUACAGAGGCAACAGGCUGUGUCCUUGGUACGACAGAGUCACCUCUCCAUCGCUGCCCAUUUACACUGGAGCUCUAUUACUCUGCUGUAGUCUUCUGAAAGUUAUUUCUAUAGCAUCUUCUAAACAAUAAACAUUGAGACAGCAAAGCCUUAUCAUCUGAGAAUCACUGUUUAUGACAACUUCAGGUUGUGAAAUGAAGGUAAGGUGAAGGGUGAGGUCAAGCAAAAUAAGAAUUAAGGACUAAGGUUCCCUACGUAACUGCUACCAGCUCUAUAAGCCACCAGGUAAGAGCCAUCUGAACCCUGUAAAGCCUCAGAAGUUUGGCAGAAUCUGAAUCCUUUGCUUUUUGGAAAGAUAAGAAGUUGUAUUUUGUGCUGUUUAUUCAUACUUGGGCAGAAUAAACAAUGACUAAUCAGAAUUACUCUCACAGCACUAAGAGGGAACAGUAUCUUGAGAAGUAAAUUACACAGGGAAAUACCACAGUUUUCAGGUAAACUUUGGGGAAAAAGAAAAAAAACAAAAAAGCCCCAAAACACUAGGUUGAUUUUAUUAAGAAAACUGGCCUUUGUUGCUUUAAAGGCAAUUCUUUAAGACUACUUUUUUCCAAAAGGUCAGAUUGAUGACAGGUCAUAGUCCUUUCUUGGCAUAUCAAGCUGCUUCUGUGGAAGAAGAGCUAAGGAUGAGCAGCCUUUCAACUACUUCAAAGCUAUAUUCCCCCAUCUGUGCUUUUAAGUAAAUAUCACUUCUUUAAAAGGAAAAAAGCUAAAAAAAAAAAAAAAAAAAAAAAAAGA
ensembl:lncRNA